GUGUGAGUAGCGGAACGUGGGUGAGAAUCCCACGCACCGAAAACCCAAGGUUUCCAGAGGAAGGUUCGUCCGCUCUGGGUAAGUCGGGACCUAAGGCGAGGCCGAAAGGCGUAGUCGAUGGACAACAGGUAGAGAUUCCUGUACCCGUAUAUAUGUGAAGGAAUGACGGAGAGAGGAAGCUGCAGCCAGCGGCUGGAAGAGCUGGUGCAAGCGAGAUAUCGGGAUGGCAGGCAAAUCCACCAUCCGAAACGAGAAGGCGUGAAGCGUACGGAAAGCUACGGCGAGUACGGAAGGCAGUGGAGGAACUUCCAAGAAAAGUUUCUAACGUUAAGUAUAUAUGGCCCGUACCGAAAAUGGACACACAUGGGUGAGGAGAGAAUCCUAAGGUGAGCGAGAGAACUAUAGCUAAGGAACUCUGCAAAAUGACUCCGUAACUUAAGGAGAAGGAGUGCUCAUAGAGAUAUGAGCCGCAGUGAAACGGCCCAAGCGACUGUUUACCAAAAACACAGCUCUCUGCUAAGCCGCAAGGCGAAGUAUAUGGGGUGACGCCUGCCCGGUGCUGGAAGGUUAAGGGGAGGGGUUAACGCAAGUGAAGCCCUGAACUGAAGCCCCAGUAAACGGCGGCCGUAACGAUAACGGUCCUAAGGUAGCGAAAUUCCUUGUCAGGUAAGUUCUGACCCGCACGAAAGGCGUAACGAUUUGGGCGCUGUCUCAGCUGUAGACUCGGUGAAGUCUUAGUACCUGUGAAGAUGCAGGUUACCCGCGACUAGACGGAAAGACCCCAUGGAGCUUCACUGCAGGUUGAUAUUGGGAUUUGAUGCAGCAUGUACAGGAUAGGUAGGAGGCAAAGAGAUGGAUACGCCAGUAUUCAAGGAGCCGCUGUUGGGAUACUACCCCUGUUGUAUUGGAUUUCUAACCGGACGACGUAGAGCCGUUGACGGGACAGUGUCAGUCGGGCAGUUUGACUGGGGCGGUCGCCUCCCAAAGAGUAACGGAGGCGCCCAAAGAUACCCUCAGCUUGGAUGGAAACCAAGCGCAGAGUGCAAAGGCAAAAGGGUGUUUGACUGCGAGACCCACAAGUCGAGCAGGGACGAAAGUCGGGCUUAGUGAUCCGGCGGUGCUGAAUGGAAAGGCCGUCGCUCAACGGAUAAAAGCUACCCUGGGGAUAACAGGCUGAUCUCCCCCAAGAGUUCACAUCGACGGGGAGGUUUGGCACCUCGAUGUCGGCUCAUCGCAUCCUGGAGCUGAAGUCGGUUCCAAGGGUUGGGCUGUUCGCCCAUUAAAGCGGUACGCGAGCUGGGUUCAGAACGUCGUGAGACAGUUCGGUCCCUAUCUGUCGUGGGCGCAGGAAAUUUGAGAAGAGCUGUCCUCAGUACGAGAGGACCGGGAUGGACGCAUCAAUGGUGCACCAGUUGUCACGCCAGUGGCAUAGCUGGGUAGCUAAAUGCGGAAGGGAUAAACGCUGAAGGCAUCUAAGUGUGAAACCCACUUCAAGAUGAGAUUUCCCAUUGCGCAAGCAAGUAAGACCCCUUAAAGACGAUAAGGUAGAUAGGUCAGGAGUGUGAGCAUGGUGACAUGUUAAGCGGACUGAUACUAAUAGGUCGAGGGCUUGACC
rnacentral:rRNA from 1 species